AGUAAAAAGGCAGGACCUUUUCAUUAGUGUUGAUGAAAUACAGUGAUAACCUCAAGAAACCAAAAUGGACACACAUUUCAUGUCCUCCCUCCUCCAAACUAUCGAUUUAUUACUCUGCUUAUGUUUAAACCUAUGAGCUAAGUUCAGAGGUGAUGCAUAAAAUGUGUAAUUUAGAGUCCUUUAUGCUCAGUUAGACACCUUAAGACCUACUUACACUCACUUACUGGAGUAUAAGUCAGUGAAAUGGAGUGUAAAUUGAUGUGAUUUACAUGUGGAGGAGCUGGCAGAGUGAGAAGGUAUUACCUCUAGGAGGGAAUAGACUUUGUAUGAGCACUUUCUAAUGUUCAGCUGCUUUUCCUGCUACUCCUCUGCACCUCUGAGUAAAGAUGUCUGCGUGAGCUCCUGCACACUCAGUGAGACUUGCUGGGCCAAGGGCACUGAUGAAAUAUAAGAAGCGUGAUAAAAGCUGUGUGCUGAGCAGUGAGUAUGGGGUUUAUAAAUAAGUAACUAAAGGCUACACUUCCCAGUCCUCUUUGUAGUUAGCUGUAAACCCAGCAGUUUCCUAGUUACUUGUAGUGACUGUUCUCAUCUAUGGUUCUUGCUCUGCUUUCUAUUGGGAAGAUUUUUACAUCCAGUGCACUCUGUAUGUUUUGCCCUGAUGCCUUGUUUGACAAGCUGGCAGCUUCCCACAUACACAACCCCCAUGCUGGAUCUGCUACACUCCAAAACAUGUGAGUGACAACAGGCUUGACAGCCUUUGGGGUGGUGAAAGAUCUGGCGAGAGCAAGCCUCCCCAGCAUGCUCAUCAGCCUUAAGCAAUCCUUUCUGUGAUCAUGGUACUGAAAUAAGGAGGUUCUGAAAGACCAGCAGACUGAGAGAUGACUGAGAAGUUGGAGCCAUGGCUAUUUAUUUAGGUUAGAUAUCCUGCUGUUAACAGUAAGGAGAAGCAGUGAUGACCUAGCACAGUUGGAACUGGAUCUGCUUGCUCUGAACAGCUGGGAGAGCAAAGGUGAAGCGUCAGCUAUUUAGUGUAAUUCCGUGUGUUAUAAAAUCCAGAGUGUCAUGGGAGUGAUGCAUCGCCUUGGCUUGUCAGACUGGUCCUUCUGUGGUACAGAUUAUGUCUCAGGCUGUCUGAGUUUGCUCAGUGUUUGAGAUAAGGAAACACUUUGAAUCUUGCUAAAAUCCCUUAAGAAACCAGACACCUGAACUGCAAACAGAUGACAUAAGCAUCAGCAGUCAAUAAUUUGGAAGUUUAUCUCUCACUUGUACAAUUCAGUGGGUGUUUAAACAUUGAUUUUCUCGAAAUUAGAAUCAGGCUCCCAGGUUCUAAAUUAAUUUUUAACUAAUGUACAGAAGGAAAUGCUCCAUUAAAUUGCUGCUACUGUAUUACUUGUCACAACACCAACACCACCUUCUGCUGUUGCAGAGGCCUCAGUUCAGCAGCCUCUCAUCCUCCAAACUGUUUGAAAUCAAUAACACUAUAUGCAGUCUCCCAGCAAACAGUGAAAACUCUGUUAGCCUAAACCUCACAUGCGGCAAAAAAUUUACAUUUACAUUAAAGAGUAAAAUAAGGGUUGAAAAGUACUCUUUUAAGGCUGAAGUGUUAAAGUUUUGUUGUUUAUCUAAGACUUAGUGGCAGACAUUUCCUUUGUUCCAUGGACUCUCUGUGGACUCCAAGGUGGGUAAAAAAUUCUGAUCUGUAGUCUGAGGUAAAAGUAUGAACGUCUUCUUCCUGAAGUUUUCAACUUUGCAUACACCUGCUGGACUAGAAUGUAUUAAUGUGAUGCUCAGUUUGCCCUCAUUUUCCUUUCAUUAAGGGAAAUGUGGACAUUCAGUAAAGUUGCCAAUCAGCUGUGCUUGACGUUACUGGACUAAGUCAGGAAGUCACAAGUUUUGUUAAGUUCCUUCAAUGCAGGAGCAAUUAGAACCUGAUAGCCUUUAUUGUUCUUGUCACUUGCAGGCUUUUUUAAAUAUUAUAUGACAGAAACAAAUUCAAUGGGGUAUUUUUAUUAUACCUAACUCAUCUAGCAUUGCUGUCAAGUUAAGUUAUAGUUUUAAGAGGAAAUCACCAAAUAACACAUUUAUGGUUCUGUUAUGGUAAAUCACAGCAUCAUUAUUCAGAUAGAAAGUCUACAACAAUAAUACUAUCUUCUCUAUUUUUUUCUAUCAAUUCUGCUAUGUAUCAAUGGGCAGAGAAAUGACAGCUGAUAUAUCCUCAGUACAUAAAAAUGGCUUGGUAUGUAGCUGCUACAUGUUCCAUUUAAAACUAAAGCAGCUUCUGUACAAUCUGUCACAUGUUCCCAUAGCUAAAAAUGGACAUGUGAAAGCAAACACAGUUGCAUAUCAAUAGGUUAGGCCAUGAGACUGUCUUGACCCUUUGAGGUCAGUAAAAAACAUGAGUUCAGUGGGCUUUUCAGUUAGAUUCUGGGCAUAUGUACCUAUUCACCACAGAUGUGCAUUUCAAACUAGAGAAGUAAACAGAAGUAUUUACAGAUAGAUAAAGGUAUCCUCCUUAAGGCAUGGCUACUUUGCUUUCACCUACUAACCAAAACUUGCUUCGUUUGGUUCAAGAGGCUUUUACACAGCUUCACUCUCAUUGCAGUAAAAUAGAAACUAAAAUUUACUUGAAACUCUUCUGUAUCCUUGCAUAAUUUCAAAAAAGAGUUUGGUGGCUUAUGAAUGGCUUCAAUUAAGCAAAAUUCUGUUUAAUUUGUAUGAGUCAAUAAUUUGAAACAAUCGUGUUUGGAAAUUUAAAUUAACAUAAUGAACAGAAAAAAAUGCCUCUUCUACUCUUGAUAUUGUUUUAGGUUGACUACAUUUCAUUUUGACAUUUGAAUUUGUUACUGGUUGAAGUUUAAAUUACAACAAUGAAGGCAUAUUUGUUUCAGGUUUAAAUUUCUCUUUGUUUAAUAUAGCUGUCAAG